UACGUAGGGUGCAAGCGUUAAUCGGAAUUACUGGGCGUAAAGCGUGCGCAGGCGGUUUUGUAAGUCUGACGUGAAAUCCCCGGGCUUAACCUGGGAAUUGCGUUGGAGACUGCAAGGCUAGAGUCUGGCAGAGGGGGGUAGAAUUCCACGUGUAGCAGUGAAAUGCGUAGAGAUGUGGAGGAACACCGAUGGCGAAGGCAGCCCCUGGGUCAAGACUGACGCUCAUGGCACGAAAGCGUGGGGAGCAAACAGG
rnacentral:rRNA from 1 species